rnacentral:rRNA from 1 species
GGACUACACGGGUAUCUAAUCCUGUUCGCUCCCCACGCUUUCGUACCUCAGUGUCAGGAGUGGCCCAGCAAGCUGCCUUCGCCAUUGGUGUUCUUAGCAAUAUCUACGCAUUUCACUGCUACACUGCUAGUUCCACUUGCCUCUGCCGUCCUCUAGCAUGCCAGUAUGUGAUGCAACGACAGGGUUGAGCCCCACGAUUUAACAUCACACUUAACACGCCACCUACGCACGCUUUACGCCCAGUGAUUCCGGAUAACGCUUGCACCCUACGUAUUACCGCGGCGGCUGGCAC